rnacentral:rRNA from 1 species
AUUGAACGCUUGCGGCAGGCCUAACACAUGCAAGUCGGGCGGUAACAGGGAUAGCUUGCUAUCUGCUGACGAGCGGCGGACGGGUGAGUAAUGCAUAGGAAUCUGCCUGGUAGUGGGGGAUAGCCCAGAGAAAUUUGGAUUAAUACCGCAUACGCCCUACGGGGGAAAGCGGGGGAUCUUCGGACCUAGCGCUAUCAGAUGAGCCUAUGUCGGAUUAGCUUGUUGGUGAGGUAACGGCUCACCAAGGCGACGAUCCGUAGCUGGUCUGAGAGGAGAUCAGCCACAC